GAUAAAUGCUCACCUUCUAUCAAAUGCUGAUCUCCUGAGCAACAGGACUUGCGCUGGCUGCUUUAACUCAAGAACCAAGGACAAGUGCUAGAGGAAGGCAAGUAUACUUAGGUAUCCUGGAUCCAGAAGUUUAACUAAUGAAGCAUGCAAUGGAAGCCUAUGUACAUCAGGAUGACUACUAAGUCAAUCAGAAAGCACGAAUCAGAGAAGAUGGCUUGGGCUGAAGGAGCAUCAUGUGCUACAG